AUCCAGCUGACGAGUCCCAAAUACUAUGAAACACGAGUCCUGGAU
rnacentral:hammerhead_ribozyme from 1 species